AAGCUACCCAAAAUCACAACUCUGAAAAACCCAAAGUUAAUCUGCUCCUGAGCCACUAAAAGCUUCUACUUUCCACCCUAGCAUGGUGAUGUCAACUUGAAAAUCAGAGGUUUUGUAGAGUUGUCACCAGCGAGAACAAUACUGAAAGGGCAUUUCUGCAGGCAAGGUUACGCAGUCUCCGUGCUAAUCAGAUUUAAGAUCUACAGUAGAAUUAUUAUAUGAACCACUGUUUUGGACACCAAAACUUUCCACUUUCAACGGAUAUGGAUCACCGAGAUUGGUUAGACGGGAGAAACAAAUGCAAAAUCCAAGAUAAAAAGACCUGUCAUGCCAAUUCAAUUUUAUAACUGACAGAUGAUGCACGGUUGGGGUCAGAGGCGGUUGCCUAAGACCGUAAGCAAAAUAUGGGGAAAGCGUGAAAGUAGUCCUGGAAGCAACUAAUUGUCUCAGGAGAAAAGGUUUUGCAGGUUUACCUUCAUAAGGUUCUUCUUCUGAUACCAGUAUCCCUGUUGGAAUUGAUCAAGCUUUGUCCUCCAACGUAGUGUUGGUAAUCGUGGUACUCAGCACCACCAGGGGAAGUCAUCACUGUAUAAUAAACCAUAGAUUAUAACUUGAUCCGCAUCAAAUACAGUGGUCAAACUUCAGUGCACAACAUACAAAACAAGCAUACAAUGAGCAGAUAUUGAGAAGACGCCAUACAGUUCUUGAGCUUCCUAAAAAAAUUAUAAAAAUAAACAGUAUGGAAUAAGUCAUCACAGACUCAUACAUGCAAUCCAAGCAACUACCCUGAAUUCAUAGAUUGUAGCGGUCUAACUAGCACAUACAAGUUCUAAGGCUUCCUCCUCAGCCAACCCACUAAGGGACUAAUGUAAUACCCUAUGUGACUGAACUAGCUCUUUAUCCACAAACAUUCCACCUAUAAGGUGGCAGAAGCCUCACUAACGUAAUUCUCUAGCCUUAACCAACAGUAUGCAGUUAAUCUCAUGAGUCCUUCACCAUAGCAGUUAGUCCUUCCAAAAAAUUACUUUUCAUUUUUUAUUUUAGAUCCGUAAUCACCCCCAGUAUUUGGAGUAACUUUCAACAUUACAGGCAACCCACCACAUGCAGCUGUGAUCAGAUACAAGUAAGACAAUCACUUCCGGCAAAGGAUUUUUUUUGGUAUCAGCCCUUUCCCACGUCUCUCUCUGAAGUGCUACCAUAGUGGCAUAAGGAAAGUAUACAUAUCUGAAUUAUUAUGUUAACAAUAAGGCUUAUACAAACCGAUCAAAAAUAACAUUCAACGCACAAAAAGCUGACUCAGAAACCAAAAUUCAUGUACUACCUCUAACAGAUAAACCAAACGCAUGUAGUGCUUGUAUAAAAGCUUGACGAUCAGCAUUUAAGCAUGAAAGCUGAUUUGAUAAAACUCAGCAACCUCCCUUUGAAGAAUGUUUUACAACAAUUAUGGUGCUGAAUAAGACAUUAUUGACCAACAUUCAACCUAUUUGCUUUUUUCCCAAAAAAUUUAUUUGUCGAUGUGCAAAUGAUUACUUUUGCCAGAUCAUUAGGAGAAAAAGGCAUUAUUGUACUGAUCCUAGACCCCAUCAUUAAAGUGAAGGAACUGUUUAAGAUCCUUCAAAUUAAAAGUACUGAGCAUAGAAUUCUAUUAGUAAAGAGAGAAAGGAAUUCCAAAGUUGUCAUUAUUCAGUCACAAUCAGCUAACGAAGAAAAUGACUACAAGCACCAAAAAACAAAGAGCAAAAUGCAGCAUGUGCACCCGCUGCGUGUUUUCAAUGGCCUCAAUCUGCUCCACGACCAGAGUGUGACCAUGUGGCCAGGAGCAUAUGGUGCUGCAAACCGAAAUGGAGCAGUGUACUUAUGUUGAACUCUGUGGAUUUUCUCAUACCCCAAUUUGCUAUGCAAAAAUCUGUGAAUGCAGUCGUUGGUAUAAUACCAAGAAAUAAACUAACAAUUGGAAAAGCUUCUCCCAUCCAGAAGGCAAUGGCAAUCCCGUUCGAAUCCCUAUUAUCUGCUUGUAAACAGAAUCUAAGCAUAUUCAAAAAUAUGCCCAAAGAGAAAUUAUUACAGGAAUUAGAGGAGAGAAAAUUACAAACUUUAAUCACCCCGUAAUUGAUGCAGGUAUGCUAAGAAUAAAAUACAUAAAUAAAUGCCCAAAAAAUGUAUUCUGAGGCACAAUAAUCUCAAAAAUGAGGAAAUCCCCCCUCCCCCCAAAAUCCUAUUACACAAAACCUAUAAAAGAUACAAAGAUAAAAGGAACUAACCCAUUUCACAAAUUCAAUCAUUUUCAAUCAUUUUCAAAACCAUGCAAACCCAAUUCACAAAUUCAAUAAUUUUCAGUAUCCCGCAAACCCAAUUCCACAAAGUCGCAGAUUGGAAUUCAAUGAACCCGAAAGACGAAAUCCGAACCUGGAUAGGAGGGUAAGAGACGAGCUGAAAAUAGCCAACAACGAGAAGGAACAUGCGCAUAACAUCCUUGUAGCACUUGAGCAUUUCAUAGAAGGGCAAUCAGACUUUGGGCUGGAUCUUGUAGCUGUCGAGGCCGGCCCAUCUGAGAACCUCUGCGAAAACGAGAGGGAGAGGGACGACGGAGAAGAUGACGAAGAGGAAGAGAAUGUUGUCGGCCAGAUAAAGCACAUGAUUGCAGGGGCCACUAUAUGUAUGUAGGUGUAAGUUCGACUGUUCGAAUGGUUUACUUCAACUCUGAGAAUGAGAAUCACUUAGGAAGGAAGAAAAAAAAAAACUGACGAAGAAGAAGAAAGAAAAAAAUCGAAGAAAAAGAGAGAAAAAAUAAACCAAAAAAAGGAAAAAAAUUCGAAGUUGUAACUUGUAAGAGGGAAGGCGGGGCCGCAGGGCAUGAGCCCAUUAGGCCAUCUCCAUCGCUUCAGGCUGGCCCAGGCAAAAGGCAGGAACAAGCCCGAGUCCACCUCCAGCGCGACGAAACCAGCCCGGGCAAGCUGCGGGUCCCACGAGCCCGGGCAGGCCCAAGGGCAAAAUUCGACUGGGCUCGAGCCCGAGUUUAUGCUGACGUCAGCGCCGUAAAUUCGAUUUUUUUUUACCGUUGGCGCGUGUAAUACACGCGCCAACGGUAAAAAAAAUUUGACUGACGUGCGCUGACGUCGUCGUGACGUCAGCACCAACGGUUACAUGCCACGUGUCGGCUCUGGGUGGCUCCGAUUGAAUUUUUUUCAGAAAUCCUACGGUUCUCAUUUUUUUGGCCAAAAAAAUUUAAAAAAAAUCCUUAAAAAUCAGAAAAAAUUCGAAAAAAUUCUGAAAUUUUUUUUAAAAAAUACCAAAAAUGUAUGUAUUUUUUCCCUAUAAAUACCUAACCAUUUUAUCUACUUUCAACACCAAAUCUUCAUACAAUUUCUUCUCCAUACAAUAUUUUCUACUCUCCACUCACAUAAUUCAUUUUUCACACCAAAUCUCCAUACAAACUCAUCUCCUUCCAAUAUUUUUUACUCUCUACUCAUAUUUUCCACUUUCCACACCAAUUCCAUAUUUUACUCUCUACUCAUAUUAUCGGAAAUCUGAGAUUAUAAUUUUUAUUAAUGAAUAUCCGAAAAUUUUAUCUGGAAUAAGACACGUGGUAACCGAGAUUCACAUCCGAAAAUCUUAUCCGAAAAUUUAAUUACAAAAGAUUAUCAAAAUUAAUGAUUUAAAGUAUAAAAAAAUAGGAAAUAAAGUACAAUGAAUAGUAAUUGCCCUAGACUUGCCCUAGACUUUGCCCUUGUGGGUGGAACCACAAAUGGCAAGGCUGACACUAUUCACGUGAAUAGUGUCAGCCCUUGCUUGCCCUUGCCUUAGACUUUGCCCUAAGGGGUGGAGUUGCUCUUACCAUGGGUCCGACAAGGAUUUUCAAAAAUUAGUCUCGUCCACAGCCGCGGGGAUCGAACAAACGACCGCGCGUUGUGAGCUUCGCGUGGAAACAACUGAGAUACACAAGCUUUGUUGAUUAAUGAACGCAUUAUUCUUUUUUAUAGAGUCCCACAUCGGGAAAGAACAGUAGUAAUUUACACCUUAAAUAUAGGGUUGUUAUUAAUAAUAGCACCAAGGCCUUUGGAUAAAACCCCACACCUAUAAUAAUCAAAAAACAAAUAUUGAAUUUAGGUGGCUAAGUUGGGGAUAAUAUCGGUACUAGUGGUGGGUUUAUGCGGUGUUUGGUAUUAGCAUUGCAUAGUGCCGGUGGGGUAAUCCUACGAGUGUUCAAUACUAACACCCAUUAGUAUGGGUGGUGGGCCUAUGCAUUGGUUAGGUGUACCAACACCGCAUAAAAUGAAGGUUCACUACUAAUAAAACUGAGGCCUUUUAUAAAUUUUUUAUUCACAUAUUCACAUUUUUUCGUAUAAGAUUACGUGUCUUUUUCAAAUCUGGCCAAAUAAAAUGGGAUUAUUUACUACAACGUUGAAUUUAUCUAGAGACCCCAAAGACAAAAGGUUACAGUUGUGAUUGCUUAUGAUACUCUUCCAAAGUCCAACAUCUUCCACAAUUUAUGUUUAUUCAAGCCACUGAAGGCAAUUGGAUCACAUAACUACGGGGCCUUUUCGCCAUAGCCAUCUUUCUCGCUUUUAGAAAACAGUUUAACCAAAAGGCGAUGAAAACAUUAUAAGCUGGAAAACUUUAUGCGUUUAGAACUCCAAAAAAUAAUCUAAAUAGUGUCUUCAGUCCAUACACAGUUGCAUGAAAGUUGGAUGAGCAAUGCUAUAACAAGUUUAACAACCCUUUCAAUAGUGCUUAUUUAUUAUGCGUUUAGAUUUAGAACACCAAAAAAUAAUCUAAAGAGUGUCUUCAGUGCAAACACAGUUGCAUAAAAGUUGGAUGAGCAACGCUAUAACAAGUUUAACAACCCUUUCAAUAGUGUUUAUUUAUUUUAUAAAUUGGAUAUGGCGCAUGGACUUGAGGCUUCAAAUGCCAUUUGGCAUUAACAAAAUCGAUCACCAGGAGCAUAAAAGUUCAUAAACUGAAGAGAAUGGCAAAUUGAGAUGUGCAGAUUUCAUAUUUUGAUUUCAAACUCCUGCUAAAGAAACACUGGCAAUUAAAUUUCAGGAUCACAAACACUGCACGAGUUCAUAAUAUUAUAAUUUGAACAUACUGCGAAAAACACAAGUCUGAACUCUGAACCUUACAAUCUAAAGUGAUUUUGAAUUCCCCCCCUCAAGCUACCCAAAAUCACAACUCUGAAAAACCCAAAGUUAAUCUGCUCCUGAGCCACUAAAAGCUUCUACUUUCCACCCUAGCAUAGUGAUGUCAACUUGAAAAUCAGAGGUGUUGUAGAGUUGUCACCAGGCAAGGUUACGCAGUCUCCGUGCUAAUCAGAUUUAAGAUCUACAGUAGAAUUAUUAUAUGAGCCUCCGUUUUGGACAGCGUUACUUUCCUCUUUCAACUGAAAUAGAUCACCGAGAGUGAUUAGAAGAAAGGGACAAACAAAUGUAAAAUCCAUGAUAAAAAGACUUAGUGCAUCAACGCAUGAAACUAGUCCUAGAAGCAACUAACCAGUUACCAAUUUCUGCCUAGAAGGGUAAAAGAAAUUCACUAACUAAAUCACCUGUACUAUUAUUGGAGAAAAAAAAUAUCAACUGGUUGCAUUGAUUAAAUACAUGUUGAGCUAUAUCAAUCAGAGUCUUGAUUUCCCAUAUGUUCAAGAACUAAAAUGUCAAUCAUGCUCAACCAAGAUGCCACAAUACUUAAUUGAUAAUCUCAGGAGAAAAGGUUCUGCAGGUUUACCUUCUUAAGGAUCUUCUUCUGAUACCGAAAUCCCU
rnacentral:lncRNA from 1 species